UGUAUAUAUGUGUGCAUGUGCACAUAUGUGUGUGUAUGUGUGUGAGAGAGAAAGCACCAUAU
rnacentral:miRNA from 1 species